rnacentral:lncRNA from 1 species
AGAGAAUAGGCAUAAAAUACUUCUAAAAAUUUACUGAACACACAAAACCACACCUCUUGUCCAAGAUCAAAAGAAAUCUGUUUUUCCAGUCACAAUGAAGCAAAAUAUGUGUAAAAAGCUGUAUUUCAUCACUAUUACAUGUAUUUUUUUUACUAGCAGUGGACUGGAAAACUGGAUCCCAUAGAACCCAAGUGGCACUGAGGUUCUUCUACCAGCAGGAUGGUGUGUGGCUGCAGAUAAAAAAAGAUAAACCACUUUCCCUUAUAAAGGAAAGGUGGGGCAUUUUGCACUUAUCCCAUCACUUCAUUGGGUUUUAUUCUGCCAGCCAGCCCUGACAAGACUGCGAUGGAUGUCUGCCUGCAUUUGAGUGCAAUGCAGUUUCCUUGAGUACCCAGUUGGUGGCAGAUUUGGAGUAUAUAAAAUCCAUCCUUUCAACCUGUUUUGCAAUGGAACCAAAUUUUUCUAGAUGGGCUAAAGAUGAAAUUGUUACUCUUUCAUUCCUCUGACAACAUUUAAAUGGCUUCCAUUUAAAAUGGUAAAUCUCUGCUUUCCAGUAUAAUUAGUCUCUAAAUCCAAGUUAUCUUCUAUCUGCUUUUCUUAUUCAAUUUCUGCUAAAUCAAACUUUAUUGACUAGACUUGUUGGGGAAGGGCUAUUUUUGACUUUGUUUGAAGUAACUAAUUAAGUGUUAUUGAUUUAAAGCAUCUGUGUGUGGAUUUAAUUCCUGUGUCUGCUGUAUGAUGCAAAAUAUCCACAGUAUUUAUUAAGGUUUCAAUAGAAUUUGAUGGGGUACCAGCAUAUUAACUAACAUGGGGCUUUCAGAGGGAGGGUGGGCACAGAGGAUGCCUAUGAUAGCUUGAUUUCUCACUUUCAUACAUGCCAAGGAACUUCUUGGGUUUAGUUCUUUCUUCAAACCCAGCAGCUAAGCUGUGACUACUGUACAAAUUUUCCUGGAUGACAAAUACAGGGUGAAUAUUUUGAGGCUCUUUGGGUUUGUGCAGUGUUCCCUGGUUUUUGCUCCUGUGGGCAUCCCAGCAGUACCACUGGAGGUUUUGUUGUGCUGGUACUCACCAUGG